GUUUUCUGAUUCUUCCACAUAGCCAACGAGCUAGAAACUCUUUCCCUCAGAGAUAUGACUUUACCUGUCAGCUUAUAUCACACUCUCACCAAGUCUCUCUGGGUUAAAGUGUAUUCAGGUUUUCUGAUUCUUCCACAUAGCCAACGAGCUAGAAACUCUUUCCCUCAGAGAUAUGACUUUACCUGUCAGCUUAUAUCACACUCUCACCAAGUCUCUCUGGGUUAAAGUGUUAUCACUCUCAUAUCACAAUAUACAAUAUCAAAUCAGAAGUUUGAAUAAAUUCUCUCAUCCUAUCAACAUGUACAAUCACACACACUUUUUGAGGUCUUUUGGGUUGUAACAGGGCUUUGGUUUAGGUAGGGUAUGAAAUUGGAACAACGGUUUUUGGGUCUUUUGGUUCAGAAUACAUGAAAUCAUUCUCUCACUACGUUUCUUUCCUAUUAUUCCUGUAGGGUUUUGCAAUCCUCUUUUCCUUUUAUCUAUAUUGAAUGUAGCAUUUUUCAAAAGCUGUUCUUUUAUUGUUUUUCACUUUUCUCUUUCUUUCUUUUCAUGUUGUUGUUGUUUUUCUUUUUUUUUUCUUUUUUUCUCUUUUUUUUUUCUUCUUUUUUUUUCUUUUUUUUUUCUUUUAUACGACAUUCACUUACUAUUCACGUACUGCAAAGCUACCCCAAACUUAAAGGUUGCUAUUCCAACAGCAACCCCAAACUUAGAUAGAAACGUAGAGAUGAAAUCAAUCCUCACAUACUCUGAACAGGGUAGGAUAGGUACAAGGUCAUGGN
rnacentral:lncRNA from 1 species